GUUUUUAAUGAUGAUGACUUGAUUCUCUAUAUCCUUGGUGGCCUUGGACCUGAGUAUGACUCAGUUGUCAUUAAUCUAACAUCCAGGGUUAAUCAUGUUACCCUUUUUGACGUUCAGUUUCUCCUUCAGAGUCAAGA